AGAGUUUGAUCAUGGCUCAGAACGAACGUUAGCGGCGCGCCUAACACAUGCAAGUCGAGCGAGAAAGGGGCAACCCCGGUAAAGCGGCGCACGGGUGAGUAACACGUAGGUAAUUUACCCCCAGGUGGUGGAUAACCUUCCGAAAGGAAAGCUAAUACAGCAUGAGACCACGUCCUCGAAAGGGGAUGAGGUCAAAGCCG
rnacentral:rRNA from 1 species